GAUGAACGCUGGCGGCGUGCCUAAUACAUGCAAGUCGAGCGAACGGACGAGAAGCUUGCUUUUCUGAUGUUAGCGGCGGACGGGUGAGUAACACGUGGAUAACCUACCUAUAAGACUGGGAUAACUUCGGGAAACCGGAGCUAAUACCGGAUAAUAUUUUGAACCGCAUGGUUCAAAAGUGAAAGACGGUCUUGCUGUCACUUAUAGAUGGAUCCGCGCUGCAUUAGCUAGUUGGUAAGGUAACGGCUUACCAAGGCAACGAUGCAUAGCCGACCUGAGAGGGUGAUCAGCCACACUGGAACUGAGACACGGUCCAGACUCCUACGGGAGGCAGCAGUAGGGAAUCUUCCGCAAAGGGCGAAAGCCUGACGGAGCAACGCCGCGUGAGUGAUGAAGGUCUUCGGAUCGUAAAACUCUGUUAUUAGGGAAGAACAUAUGUGUAAGUAACUGUGCACAUCUUGACGGUACCUAAUCAGAAAGCCACGGCUAACUACGUG
rnacentral:rRNA from 1 species